GAUAAUAUAUUAGCCUUAACACAUUAUUUUAUUUAAUAGUCGCAUUUUGAAAAGAGAGAAUAAAAUAUGAGAAUAAAAUUAUAUACUAUUAAACACUAGAAAAUCUAACGUCCAUGUAUGUAUUUUUUUUAUAUAAAGGUGCUUUAAUGAUUUACAUUUACAUUCAAUGUAAAUCACACAAAAGGGCCUGACUUAAAAAAAAUGGGUUAUUCUUUAUGUUAAUGUAAUAAACGGGUUGUAUGAAGCUUCCUUUUUUUUUUUUUCUUGAGACAAGGGCUGUUAAUUGUUAGAGAAGGAAGAAUGGUUUCCAUAUCAGUGUGUACAAGGGUCCCACCGUCAGGAGGAAAUAGUGAAAUUUGCUUUUUGUGAUGGGAAGUUGUUAUACGCGGGAUCACGAAAUAUUUAGUAGAAAUUGGAGGGAAAUAAGCUUUUCGAUUUUAUUUAAUAGUUGAUAAAGUGACUUCAGCCCACUACACAAAAGUAGCGCAGUACAGACAAAAAGUUAAGAGUUAUCUCAUUGGUGGAAAAGGAGCAAGAGAGCCCUGUAUUCAAACUGACCUUUAAGCACCAAGAGAUCAGCCCUUUGAGGUGAACUCAGAAUAUCUUACACAAAUUUGCAGUUGGUUGUUUGCAAACUAAGCUUAUCAUAUGGUGAAGAGGAAAGUUUAGAGAUGAUUGCAAAUCAUCAACUUAUUUCACAAAUCUGUUAUAUGGAUUUGCACAGUUUAAUGAUAGAGGUGAAAUGACCUCGAUAAUAGAGCUCAAACUGGGGUUUAAUAAACUGACCUUAGUGCAAAAUCUUGGUGAAGGUAAGGAAAAUAUGAGGAGAUAGACGUGGAUUUGCAAGUAAAAUGAUUUUCACUCAGUUUUGUUAUUUGUGCAAACAAUGAUACUAAGUAUAUUUAUCAACUUGUCUACAAUCAUAGACCAAAGAUGAAUUUAUAUUUAGAAGUUUUUCUUGUUGCCAUUCAGCUUUCAUGAAAGAAGGUUUCUUUAUGGGUCUACAAGCAUGCCUCAAUCAUAUUGGGGGUUCGGAUGAUUGUUUUAUUACCCACAUCAUCCAGCUUUAUCAUACAUGGACGUUAGAAAGUAGACUUUAUGGUUGUAGAAAUGUUGCAUUUUCACUCAGUUUUGUUAUUUGUGCAAACAAUGAUACUAAGUAUAUUUAUCAACUUGUCUACAACCAUAGACCAAAGAUGAAUUUAUAUUUAGAAGUUUUUCUUGUUGCCAUUCAGAUUUCAUGAAAAAAGGUUUCUUUAUGGGUCUACCAGCAUGUCUAAUAGAGACACUCCAGGAAAUGUUUAGCUGGAUGGCCUUCUAAACUGGGAUUUUUUGAUAUUUUGCUCCAUUUGCUGCCAGGCACAUAUUUUAUUUAAUAGUUGUCUAGAUUUUUGGGUGCAGGACCUGCAUGUUAGUUGUACUUGCUGGAUGUUCCUUGGUGGAAUUAUAAAAUGUCCUGGGCAACAAUAUUUUGGUGGGAUUACUCUGUUAAAGGUUAUGAGAAAACAUUGUAGAAAGCAAAUGGCAUAUGUUGAUAUAAAUCACCCAAGCUGGAAUUUUUUGAUGCAACACUACAAGAGCCUGCUGGAUGCUACAUAUGUGGAUUCACUCCCAGGUUUAAAUUAAUGUAUAGGGUUUAAGGUUAAUGUAUAACCAUGUUGACAACAAUUGGUUGAGAUGCACACAUUCUUCAUCAAGUGUUUAGUGUCAGUAAAUGGAGAUAGGAAUUUAAGUAAUUGCAUGACAAUUAGAAGGAACCUGCUAUAAUGUAUGAUGUAAAAAGUAAAUGAAAUGUUCACAUUCAAGCUUUUUUGAUGAAAUCUGGAUGGCAAUGUACAUGAUAAAAACAGGGGAAAAAGUGUAUGGUGUUUGAAUUAUAUUAAAUAUAAAACAAAAGUCCUCAAAAUCUGGUACUUGGCAGAGUACUAAAUGAGAGGAAUCUCAAAGAUAAUUUCCCAUUGGUAAAGCUUAAAUUCUUCCUCGGCUACAUACGUUACUACUCUUUAGACAAAAUCUUCUUGAACUUCUUUAUUUUUUCUGAGUUAGUGUGGUGUAAAGAAUGCUUAAUCUAAUUAGAUCCUGUUACCACAAAUUGCAAAGUAUAGAUAUGUAGUAUCUAAAUUUCUUUAAUUCCCCUGUUUUUUAUAAAGAAUAAUCUAUAUGCAUUUAAGAUGAUCAGGACGUAUGGUUUAAAUUUCUAAAUUCCCGUGAAGUAGUGGUAUAUGCUAAUAUAUGCUAUUUCCCUAGCUCUUAUUAUAUAUAAUAUUGCUCCAAGGUUGUAGAUUGGUUUUGGCAUUUUAUUCAUGAGUCACAGAGUACAUACUGAGCUAUUGGGAUAAAUAUAAAUUAGAUGCAUCUACACAUCUCUAUCUAAUUUUCUGAUCAUGAUCUUUAAAUUAAAGAAGAAGAAUUUUUUAUGAUUGGUCAUUAUAAAUUCAUGAAACAUAUACUGGGGCAAGGAAUCAAUAUAAAUAAAAUAUAUUUAAUGAUUGGUGGAGAAUCAAUAUGCAUGCCAAGAUGCUAUACAUGAAUUUAUGCGAUAGAGGUUGUUUCAAUUCAGAUUGAGUACAUAUUGAAUGACUUUGCUA